rnacentral:rRNA from 51 species
CCCGCUGAGUUUAAGCAUAUCAAUAAGCGGAGGAAAGGGCGAA